rnacentral:rRNA from 1 species
GACGAACGCUGGCGGCGUGCUUAACACAUGCAAGUCGAACGGAAAGGCCUGCUUUCCCUUGUGGAUUGCGGGUACUCGAGUGGCGAACGGGUGAGUAACACGUGAGUGAUCUGCCCCCAACUUGGGUAUAAGCCUGGGAAACUGGGUCUAAUUCCCGAUAGGACUGCAGGGUGGUGCCUGUGGUGGAAAACGAUUUUCUAGUGGUUGGGGAUGAGCUCGCGGCCUAUCAGCUUGUUGGUGGGGUAAUGGCCUACCAAGGCGGCGACGGGUAGCCGGCCUGAGAGGGUGGACGGCCACAUUGGGACUGAGAGACGGCCCAGACUCCUACGGGAGGCAGCAGGGGGGAAUAUUGCACAAUGGGCGGAAGCCUGAUGCAGCGACGCCGCGUGGGGGAUGACGGCCUUCGGGUUGUAAACUCCUUUCGACCGCGAGGAAGCCACCUGGUUGGAAGGGUGGUGACGGUAGUGGGAGAAGAAGCACCGGCUAACUACGUG